AGUGAACGCUGGCGGUAGGCCUAACACAUGCAAGUCGAACGGCAGCACAGUAAGAGCUUGCUCUUACGGGUGGCGAGAGGCGGACGGGUGAGGAAUACAUCGGAAUCUACUUUUUCGUGGGGGAUAACGUAGGGAAACUUACGCUAAUACCGCAUACGACCUACGGGUGAAAGCAGGGGAUCUUCGGACCUUGCGCGAUUGAAUGAGCCGAUGUCGGAUUAGCUAGUUGGCGGGGUAAAGGCCCACCAAGGCGACGAUCCGUAGCUGGUCUGAGAGGAUGUUCAGCCACACUGGAACUGAGACACGGUCCAGACUCCUACGGGAGGCAGCAGUGGGGAAUAUUGGACAAUGGGCGCAAGCCUGAUCCAGCCAUACCGCGUGGGUGAAGAAGGCCUUCGGGUUGUAAAGCCCUUUUGUUGGGAAAGAAAAGCAGCAGGUUAAUACCCCGCUGUUCUGACGGUACCCAAAGAAUAAGCACCGGCUAACUUCGUG
rnacentral:rRNA from 1 species